rnacentral:lncRNA from 1 species
CAAGUGGCAGAGGCAAAUUACCAAGGAAAUAGGAAGAUAUCAAUGAACUUUCCUGUUUAAGGGAAGCUAUCUACGUACUCACAGAUCAUGGUUCAAGAACUGCAAAAAUCUUGAAGAUUUCGUUCACCUCACCGAUUUUGAACGCCAGUCGCAGGUUUAGAGUCUGCCAUCCCCUUAAUUUUCUGCAAUUACAACAUCGAACAUGAAUCAUGGAAUCAGAUCUAUGUCCAGUAACCCUAAAAUCUACAAGACCUAAUGUUCCCUUUCGGCGCGUAGAAAAGAGUUUUACCGAUGAUCGGACAACGAAAACCUUAAACGAACAGAAAGUAAACCGAAAAUUAAAAAGAGAGGUAGAGAGGACGGAAAAUUACCCCAACUCGAAGACCUACUUGAGCGACA